rnacentral:rRNA from 1 species
UAGGGAAGCUUCCACAAUGGACGCAAGUCUGAUGGAGCAACGCCGCGUGAGUGAAGAAGGGUUUCGGCUCGUAAAGCUCUGUUGUUAAAGAAGAACGUGGGUAAGAGUAACUGUUUACCCAGUGACGGUAUUUAACCAGAAAGCCACGGCUAACUACGUGCCAG